rnacentral:misc_RNA from 1 species
GAUGGAAGAACGUAGCGAAAUGCGAUACGUAAUGUGAAUUGCAGAAUUCAGUGAAUCAUCGAGUCUUUGAACGCACAUUGCGCCCCCUGGUAUUCCGGGGGGCAUGCCUGUCCGAGCGUCAUUGCUGCCCUCAAGCACGGCUUGUGUGUUGGGCCUCCGUCCUCCUCCCGGGGGACGGGCCCGAAAGGCAGCGGCGGCACCGCGUCCGGUCCUCGAGCGUAUGGGGCUUCGUCACCCGCUCUUGUAGGCCCGGCCGGCGCUUGCCGACACAUCAAUCUUUUUUCCAGGUUGACCUCGGAUCAGGUAGGGAUACCCGCUGAACUUAAGCAUAUCAAUAAGCGGAGGA